AGCUGUGGCUGUGGCCUUGCUUCGGGGGCUGCCGCGGAGCUGCCGCGGGGUUCCCGGAUAGGGGCGCGCGUUGCCCGAUGUGCGUGAGGAGGUGCCUGGUGGGCCUUACCUUUUGUACCUGCUACCUGGCGUCUUACCUCACGAACAAGUAUGUCCUGUCUGUCUUGAAAUUUACCUACCCUACAUUAUUCCAAGGGUGGCAGACGUUAAUUGGUGGACUUUUGCUUCAUGUGUCAUGGAAACUGGGCUGGGCUGAGAUCAACAGCAGUUCAAGAUCUGAUGUUUUGACAUGGCUUCCUGCUUCGGUGCUGUAUGUGGGCAUAAUCUAUGCCGGUUCCAGAGCAUUAUCCAAACUGGCCAUUCCUGUGUUUCUUACUUUGCAUAAUGUAGCUGAAGUUAUCAUCUGUGGGCACCAGAAGUGUUUUCGGAAAGAGAAAACUUCUCCUGCAAAGAUCUGUAGUGCCCUCUUCCUCCUGGCUGCUGCAGGAUGCCUCCCCUUCAACGACUCCCAGUUUGAUCCAGAUGGAUAUUUCUGGGCUGUAAUUCACUUAUUCUGUGUAGGGGCUUAUAAGAUAUUGCAGAAGUCCUGGAAACCCAAUGCGUUAAGUGACAUUGACCAGCAGUACUUAAACUACAUGUUCAGUGUGGUGCUCCUGGCAGUUGCAUCUCAUCCGACAGGUGAUCUCUUCAGUGUCCCGGACUUUCCGUUCCUGUAUUUCUACAGGUUCCAUGGAAGCUGCUGUGCCAGUGGAAUUUUAGGAUUCCUUCUCAUGCUCAGCACAGUGAAGCUAAAAAGCCUUAUGGCCCCAGGGCAGUGUGCAGCCUGGAUUUUCUUUGCUAAGGUCCUCACAGCUGGCUUGUCCAUAUUGCUGUUUGAUAUGAUCCUGACGAGUGCAACAGUGGGAUGCCUCCUGCUUGGCGGACUCGGAGAGGCCUUGCUGGUUUUCUCGGAGCAGAAGGGCUCAUAAGGACAGGAAAAAUAGACUCACAGGCUGCUGGCUGGAAUGCACGGCCCCUGGGCCUCAGAGAUCCCGCUCAAAUGUGUUAGAAGGAGAAAACAGGGACAACAAGGCCACCACUUCUCACUGCAUCAAGGAGAAGUCUCUGGACUGUUGGAGAGAAUUGACUGUGUUGCGUCUUCCUGCUCCGAGAGGCUCACUCAAGCCUUGCUGACCGUGCUGGGCCCAGUGGGGCAGACCCAGACCUGGAACCCCCCAUGUGGGGAUGGGUCUGCUCACCUUGACUGAUGUGCAGGCCUCCUUAUUAAACACCCUUCACCAAACAUGACUAUACGGAGGCGGGCUCAAGGAAUUUUGUUGCACUUUGUUUUAUAUGUUUACAUCUUUGGAGACUUUUCUGGGGACACCUUUCCCUUGCUGUCAUGGGCUUGCCUGGAGCCCCCACUCACCCACUUAGGAGCACAGACAGAAUUCCUCAUGGAGGGCUUUCACGGGGGGGCAGGGGCAGAGAUGAGGGUCAAAUGGGAGUUCUGAGUCAAGUAAGACAUCAGCAAGGACGCUGUUACUCCAGAGAGAGUGCUAAAGCCUUUUUGGGGUUGUGUGUUGUGUUGAAUUCUAUACACUCUUGGUGUCCACUGUGAGGCUAACUUGCUCCUAAAUGAUCACCAGAGGGAAUAGGGUUUAUAACUGUUGAUGGAUGUGCUCCCUGGCCAGUGAUACAAACAUAGAACAUACGUAUACACAAAAGCACACGCAUUUAUAUUCACAUCCCUUAAAGCUUUUAAUCCAUUGAAUUCCCUGAUGGCUCAGAGGAGAUUUCAUUCAUAUCAUUGAACACUGAAGUAUAUUUUUCGGGCCAGAUUAAAAAUUUGAUUAAGACUCUAAAUCUUCCUCUGUGGGAGUCCAAAGAAAUGAACAUGCAUGAAAUGGUAACUUGCUUCUGAACUCACAGUGAAGGUUUAAGAAAAUAAUGUCUGACUUCAAAUAUUUCUGCUCAUGACAGGUUUUCAAUGCCUGACUGCUCUGCCAGGUGUCGGGUCUGGUCAUGUUGAGAUGUAGAAGGUAGUGAAGUCCCAGUGAGCCCUCCCCGGGCAGGAAGCCAGGCUGGCACUGGUGGUCAUGCACGCCAUUCAUGGAGAACCAUCUUCGUCGUCUGGGAAAUAAGCCUGUCCAUGGAGAAUAAGGCCACUUAGCUCCGAACAGGGAGGAUGACCCAGCUCCUUCUGCUGGACCCUCGCUGUCCAAGAGGGUGAGCAUAGCCAUGUGUGGCCGUCACUGAAAUGACGUGUGUCCAGAUUCACAUGUGCUGUACAUAAGGCUUCCACCAUGGGAACAAGCCCAGACGUGGCUGCCAGAAGAUAAGAGACCAUGUGGAACAAGGCUAAGUCCUUCCUGCCAAGGCCACCCUAGACCAGCCUGCCCGUAGUGACUGCAGACGCAUAAAUGAGCCUGGAUGAGAUCAGCUGAGCUCCGCUUAGGAGCUGGCUCCCCCAGUACUGCCAACACCCCCACUGAGGAGACAAAGCGACCGCUGCUUGGUGUGGUGGGCAGGAGGGAAGUGCAGUGAAGCUUGGUUUUCAGAGGAGGGAAGACAAGCCCAGAAUGCAUCAGGACUCGGAAGCUGGGUUUGAGAAGAAGAAAAAGAAAUACAAGAGAGUUUGCCCUUCUCUUUGCUCUCUGCCACACGAGAAUACAGUGAGAAGAUGGCUUUCUGCAAACCAGAAAAGAUUGCCCUCACCAGUCACCAGAUGUGCCGGUGCCUUGCUCUUGGACUUCCCAGCCUCCAGAACUGAGAAAUAAAUGUUUGUUGUUUAAACUA